GGAUGACUGUAGCUCAGUGGUAAAGCAUCUGCCUUGCAUGCAGAAGGACCAAGGUUCAAUCCUCUGCAUCUCCA